AGCUCACUGGUACGUUUCUGACACUCAUGGACGAAAGCGUGGGGAGCAAACAGGAUUAGAUACCCUGGUAGUCCACGCCCUAAACGAUGCGAACUAGGUAUUGGCAGUAUCGACCCUGUCAGUGCCGUUUAAAAAAGCUAACGCGUUAAGUUCGCCGCCUGGGGAGUACGGCCGCAAGGCUAAAACUCAAAGAAAUAGACGGGGACCCGCACAAGCGGUGGAGCAUGUGGUUUAAUUCGAUGGUAAACGGGGAACCUUACCUGGGCUCAACUACUAGCUGCAAGCUUCCAGAAACGGAAGCCGCCUUCGAGGGUGCUAGAUAGGUGCUGCAUGGUUGCCGUCAGCUCGUGCCGUGAACAUCUCGCGGCCUUGUUCUGAAAAGGACAAUGCGAAAUCUGGCUCAUAUCGGAGAAGCUGAUUAUCAAAUACAUGGCAUGUGUUAUAAUCACCUAACUAUGUAUUUAGUAACUCCGAGGGAAGUCAAGUAUCUGCCCAACAUACUACGCGCAAGAAAAAAUCUGAAACUGACACUUUCAAGCCGUCAAAUGCAGAUUCUGAUAGGAUCGAUCCUUGGCGAUGGGUAUAUUACCUAUCGCGGACAAAUCCAGUUAGAACAUUCGGAUAAGUACCAACCGUAUUUAUUCUGGAAAUUUGGUGAACUUAAAGCGUUAGCUUACGGACAGCCGAGUUUGGUUGAACGUACGGAUAAGCGCACCGGUGCCAAAUAUCGGUCAUACCGGUUCUGGCUUCGGCAAUAUUUUCGUCCAUGGCGGGACUAUUUCUAUCAAAAAAAGAUAAAAAUAUUUCCACAUGGAUUUGAAUUGUCGCCUUUGGCGCUCGCAGUAUGGUACAUGGAUGAUGGCUGUUAUAGUGAUGGCCGGUGUACAAUAGCGACUGAAUGUUUUUCAACAGAGUCUUGCCAAAACAUACAAGACAUGUUGAAGAAGCAGUUUGACCUUGAUACGCAUAUCAGAUCAAACGGAAAGUUAGCUAUUCGUGCCCGGAGUCAAAACUCCUUCUUUUCCAUAAUCCGGCCGUACGUCCAUUCUACUAUGGCGUACAAAAUACUUUGACCCUGUAACGACUAAGGCUUAAAUGCCGAGAGUGAAGUUUCCGAUUGUAAAGGAAUUUAUAACUUCGCUAAUACGCCAGCCCCUCAUUUAGUUUUAAUAAACUGAAAAGGGUGAAGGAAUAGUCUGCAAUGGUGAUAAUUUUUAUUCGGAGGUGUACCGUUAAGUCGGGAAACGAGCGCAACCCACAUCGUGUGUUAAAUGUACACGCGAGACCGCCCCGUAUUUUGCGCGGAAAUCGGAAAUCGGAAAUCGGAAAUCAGACGCUAUUGUCUGACAUCCGAUAUCCGAAAUCUGACUUCUGAACAGGAUACGGGGAGGAAGGGGUGGACGACGUCAAAUCAGCAUGGCUCUUACGUCCAGGGCUACACACAUGCUACAAUGGCGAGAACAAUGGGUUGCCAAGUCGCGAGACGGAGCUAAUCCCAUCAACACUCGCCCCAGUUCAGAUUGAAGGCUGCAACUCGCCUUCAUGAAGUAGGAAUCGCUAGUAAACGCCAAUCAGCCACGUGGCGUUGAAUACGUUCUCGGGUCUUGUACUCACCGCCCGUCACACCACGGGAGCUGGCAAUGCCCAAAGCGCCGCAAGGCGUUAAGGCAGGGUCAGUGACUAGGGUGAAGUCGUAACAAGGCAUGGGUAGCGGAAGCUGCUCAUGGAUCACCUCCUUU
rfam:Candidatus Magasanikbacteria bacterium RIFCSPLOWO2_02_FTLL_44_11 rifcsplowo2_02_scaffold_27311, whole genome shotgun sequence.